rnacentral:ncRNA from 1 species
GCAGAGUAGGAUUCGGCGCGUCAAGUGCCGGCGGAUGGGAAGUUGCCGCCGGACGAAAGCAUGACACAUGCUGCGGUGCCGUCUCCGCGUCCGCUGC